AUACUGUACAUGCUUGAGUAAUUAUUGGAGCGUAAAGUCAGUGCUUAAGCAAACAAUGCUGGUGUCACAUUUUCCUGUCUGGAGGGCAGUUCAGACCAGUACUGACUGGAGACGAUGGACUGACUCCAGAUCAUAUAUCAGCCGCUGACAAUAGACACUGAAGGAACUGACACUCUCCAGACGCGGAGAAACUCCGCCUUUGUUCAUAGCCACUCCUCAAGCCUAAGCUGGCCUGCUUUGGCCCAAGGUUUUUGGCAGGCCAAAAAACCCUGGCUUUUGGCCCCAAGGAAGCCCUGAAAAAGCAUGACCAGAACUGACAGUGGAAACGUGACUGGCACGCACUAGUUUGCCUGCUUUUGUUCCAACAGUGGAAAUGCAGCUAUUGAGGAUCUAAGGGGUUGCGCAGAAACAGAUGAAGCAGGAAGGAGUUGAAGGAGGGACUAGUUCUGUGGAAACAGGUGACUCAGUAAUUCCUCCAAUGGUAGUUCUGAAGCAGACACGGCAGCAAGCUCUGGCUCCUGGAUGGACAUGGCGGCAAGCUCUAGUCUAGCAAGUCCCAUAAUUCAGUGGACUCUGGCUCCAGGAUUGACAAUUCACAGAAAUUUGGCUUUGACUUGCAAUCUGUAACAGGCAUUUGAGCAGUCUCUGAGUCUGUGGUGGCUGGAGACAUCCUAGACCUCCCCUGUGCCAGCAAGACCUCAAAGUUGCAACAAGUCAUGUUGCAACUUUCCACCACUCUCCUGACUGCCACUGAGUCAGAAUAACAUUUUUGGUGUUCCUCUUCAACCUGGAAAAACCCAAUUCCACUGAACUGUUGAACCAUCAAGACUUUCAUCUGAGACUGCAUCCAGAAGCUCAUUGAACAGCCAAGGCAAUGCAAGUAUCAUACAUUUAAAUAAACUAAACAGCAGCAUAGUACUAAGCACUUGUCACAGACCCCUUUGUCCCAGAGGAGGUUAACUGGCUCCUUUUCUAUAGCUUCAUUCCCUAAUUUCUAUAAUGGCUUCAUUCAUUCAUUUUUACUUUUACAUUUUUACUACUUUUUUACAUUUGUAUAUACAGUAUGUAUGAGUGUGUGUAUAUGUUUGUUUAGACUAAUUAUUUAAUUGUGUUUUAG
ensembl:lncRNA